rfam:TPA: Bos taurus chromosome 1, whole genome shotgun sequence.
GCCUGGAUAGCUCAUUUGGUAGAGCAUCAGAUUUUUAAUCUGAGUGCCUAGGGUUCAAGUCCCUGUUCAGGUG